rnacentral:piRNA from 1 species
UGGCAUCUAGGGACUAGGAUUUUAUUU